GGUUCAGCACAGAUCAAGUCCUCGGGAAUACCCAGUUCGGAAUAGUUUACCGGGGAAAACUCGAAUCAGGUAACUCCACAAGCCCGAGCGCCGAUGAGAUCAUUAUUAAAGUCGGGCGAUGGCCUCAGCUGUAUACGGAUUAUUUUUGGUCUGGAGAAUGGGAAAGUGCUCGGCCGGCGAUGAAAAAUGAGAUACUCGUCCACGAAGAGAUUAGGUCCCAUCCAAGCGUCACGAAGCUGAUCGGAUACUGUGACGAAGACGGUCAUGACGUGCUUAUUUACAAUCUCAAGCCACUCGACAGUGUCCAAAACCUACUACCUAAAGAAAAUUUCAGAUGGCUACACCGCGUGAAGGCGAUUAUACACUUAGCGUUUUUCAUCGAGUACUUGCACGCCCAUAAUCCGCAGUACUUUCUUCGCAAUUUAGAUGCAAGUCACCUUAUG